UUUGGGGGUGAAAGGCCCAAACCAUUUCUCUUCUCUUUUCCUUCUCUCCUUCUCCCCGAUUCUCUCUCUCUUCUCCCUCAUCUCCCUCGGUCGCUGCCUUCUCCAACGCAGCACCGCCGUCUCCGGCCAUCCCUAGCGACGAAACCGCCACCGAAGUCGUCCCCUCCUUUUCCUCAGCAUAACCCAGUCCUUGAAGCCGGAAGGCAUCCACUCUCGACGGAGAUCGAAGGAGGUGGACGGCGACUAUGUUUUGCUAUUUCUGGCGAGCUCCGACAGGGACGACGGCAUUGAAGAGUAUAUUCUUGUUCUCCUCACUUCCCUCUUCCUUUCUAUGUCCUUGGUUGUACGAAUCGAACCCUAAUCUGGAAACCCCUUUCUUCUCUUUUCUGGGUUCGAACUCCUAGCUCCGGCGACCGACGUUCGAGGGUUUCCGGCAUGUGCUUCGGGCUUUGCUGGAGUUGAUGAGGCUUCAUUGUACCUCUUGUCUCCUCCCGACGACCUGCUAAGCAUCAAGAGGCCAAGACGAUCAGUUAGGGAGACUUGAGGUGUUGCUGCUGCUAUGUGGGAGGAGCCACGAACCCGAAAUCCGGCAAGAGAGCCACCGCCGGCAAGAGAAGCUUUGUUGUCGUCUGAAGGUAAUCUUCUUGCUCUUAGAGUUGUUAUGUUGCUGUUGUGUGGGUUUGGAAGAAGCUAAUUGUUGUUUUGGUUGUUUUAUGACGAUAACUUGGUGUUCUAGAGAUUGCGGGGAGAUCAUGGUGAAAUUCCGGCAAGUGGUCGGAAUCCGGCAGAAUAUUCCGGCAAGUCGCCGGAAUCCGACGAAGCAGCAGAUCCGGCUAAGAGUCGUUAAGGUAGUUUUGAGUCUAAUAAAUGUUAUUGAUGCCUUAAGAGGAAUUGAUGUUGGAGUUUAAAAUUGUGGUCUUGAAAGUCUAGGCAUAAUGUGAAGUUGGAUGGUAGGGAAAGAGUGAAGUUGUUGGUAUUUGCAGCUUGUUUAAAAGCAUUUAAGUAGAGAAUGAGGUUAACUCUAGUUGGAUUUUGAAAUGAGCUAAAUAAUACUAUGGGUGUCCAUAGUGAGUUUUGCGUUUAUUUUAUUACUUGGCGGAAUGGUGAAAUAUUUUGGAUGUUACGCUAUAGGCUUGGAAAUUCAAUGAGAACUUGAUUCCAAGUUGAGGUUACGGAGCUUGAGCAAAAUGAGUUCUGGAUGUGAAAUUGGUUAAAAAUAAUAUUUAAAUCAUUUGGUCAAUCCUGGUCAACCUAGGGAAACCUAGUCAAAUUAGGAAGAAGUCCAAUCAAUGAUUAUUUUGGAGUCCGGUCUGACCAAUUUAUUCUUCUGUUUAUCGUCAGUCGUGGGAUUGGCUAGAGAGUGUGAUUAGUUGGAGGCAGCGCUUGAGGAGUAUUCCGAGCAUUGGAAGGCUUAGGCCUAAUACUGUGAGUGGACCUUUGUUUUAAUUGAAAAGCAUGCGAUGAAAUAAUUUGUUGAUUAUUUAUUUUCUUCUGAUGAGACUUUCUGAUUUCUCGGAUAUUUGGCAAUUUUUUCUCCUUUGGAGAGUUUCCGGAAAUGAGAUUUUCGGUUGAUAUAUUUGUUGGAUGUUUAUGUGAGUAUAGUAUGUAUAUAUAAAUGCUAGCUAGCCAUACGUGUUUGAUCUGUCAUAAUGAGGUGAAAUACCAUUAUGACGUGACGUGAGUGUUAGACACAAGCGUAGUAGCCAUAUAUGAAAGCUAUUUUCUUAUUUGGUUUAUUUAGGUUUUCAUAUAGGGAGUCCACACGUAUAUACACUCGUGCUUUUUUCCGCCAUACUGAGGUACAAUUCCAUUAUGGUGUGACGUGAGCGUUAGACGCAAGCGUAGUAGCCUUGUAUGAAUUUCUAUUUUUCUAAUUUGUUCUUAGAAUUCAUACAAGGAGUCUGACGAGUGUAAAUACAUACACUUAUAUAUGUUUAUAUAUAGUUUAGCCUGAGAGGCUGUAUUUCUUUGAGUUAUGGAGACUAGCCGGAGCUAAUCAUGAAAUUGCCAGUUUUUGUGUUGAGCGCUUUUGAGCUGCCGCAUGCAGUAUAUUUUCCUUGGAAAUUAAAAUGGGGAAGCAUAAAUAUUUUCUUAAAUUUAUUUUUGUCCACUCACUCUAACGGUUUCAAAUGUUUUUCCCCUGGGCCCUUUGUUUUAAAAUUGCCCAGUCUGCAGGAUUGUAUAGUUGAGGUCGAGCGUACAUGGAGAAGAUGCAUAGUCAAUAGUAUAGCUUCCGCUCAUUUCUAUUUAUUUCUAGUUUCCUCUCCUCUCAAGUAGAGUUGUUCUGAAUAUGUGGUUGUUGGUUAUAGGAUCUUUGUUAGAUUAGUGAAUCUAUAUUGAGAGAUGUUGUGAUUUGUGGGGAGCACGAAGGCUCCAGGAGUUUAUAAGAUUGGAGUUGGAACUUUUAGAAGUGUUUGCAGGUGUUUUAUUUAGGAAGGGUUGUCCAUUUUCAAGGGAGGUUAUGCCGAAUUUUCGGUAAAUUUUCCUUGGAGGUGGUCCCCACAGGAUUUACUUCGAGUUUCAAGGUGAAAUUCGAGGUGGGUCCUGAUAGUCGGACUCCGGUCACCGGCCGCCAGACUCCGGUCACCGGAAUUUCCCCUGUAACGAGUUACUAAUCCCCUGUAACCAGUUACUAACCAAUUAAUGACUCUAAAUAACCAGUUACUGACCCCCCGUAACCAGUUACUGACACCCAAUAACCAGUUACUAACCCCCAAUGACCAGUUAUUGAUACCCAGUAACCAGUUACUGAUCCCCAGUAACUAGUUACUGACCCUUAAUAAUCAUGUUACUAACCUCUAAUAAUCAGUUACUGAUCCUCAAUAAUCAACUUAUUUCAGCUUCUUGUAAUAGAAAAGAAAAAAUACCGGAACAUAAUCCAAUUAUUGACCUCAAUAAUAGUUACUAACCCUCAAUAAAAUGUUGAAACAUUACUGUGAGGCCCAUAAGGGCAUCCAAACCUCCAGCCUGUUGUCAAGGACCCAAGCCCAAACCAAAAAAUUGCUCUGGGCACCCAAAGCAGGCGCCCAAACACUUCCCGACCGGCGUUGGCGUCGACUCCGGCGUCCAACCUUAUGCCACAACUCAGAACUAGUCUUCCUCACUGGCCUUUAGAGUGAUGCGUCUCUGCAAGCCCUCCUUCCAGGUGGAGUCCCUCCCCCUCCUCCUCGACCCCGCUGAUCUCCUCGUAGGCGAAGACAUCUUUAAUGACCCCCUCGCCACCGCUCAGGUCCCCCGCCUCCUCGACAGCCACGUGUCCUCCUCCACCGACUCCUCCUCCUCCGAUCCUAGCUACCGCUCCAGAUUGCUCUUCCGCCUGAUGAAGACGAGUUCGGCGACAGGCAAGACUUGUAGAAGCGGAUAAAGUCGUUGAACGGCAGGUAGUUCGGGACGGCGACGACGGAGAGGAGAGAGGACUCGGUGUCGUGGCUCCGCAGCGACGACGAGCUUCCUCUUCUUCUUCGAAACAGAUGCGCGAUUCCUCGCCGUUCGCUGAACCUAAAGUUUGAUUGUGCGGCAGCAGAGAUGGUGGUGAACUUGGCGUCUUCGAGGUUGACAGGGUGGUUGGUGUCCACUGAGUGGAUUCGGAGGAAGAACAUUGUGACUCACUGAGUCAACUCCGUCGGAGAAGAGAGAGAGAGAGAGAGAGAGAGAGAGAGAGAGAGAGAGAGAGAGAGAGAGAGAGAGAGAGAGAGAGAGAGAGAGUAGAGAGAGAGAGAGAGAGAGUAGANNNNNNNNNNNNNNNNNNNNGAGAGAGAGAGAGAUCUGAAAGAUGAGAGAGUAUGAGAAUGAGAGAGGACGGGAGAGAGUGAGGGUGAGAGUGUUUAUAAGUUUAUGGGCAAAAUAAUCUUUUUAUUAGGUUUCAUUAGAAUGGGCUAUAGAAAACUUUUUCAUUGAAUUGAGAUUUACUUUAAAUAAAUUUGUGCAUUAGGGCAUUUUCUCUUUAAAAUAUCCAAAAAAGCUAAAUAGCUAAUGAGCCAAAAUAGAAAGUCUAAUAAAGAUGUUCUUAGAUCUCAUAGCAUUAACAAUUGAGAAGUAGAGGUUUUAAGAUGUGACGUGGCCCAUACGUUCUAAUAGUGUAAUUAUUAAGAUGGGUAUACUUUUAACCCAUCAUUUGGGGUAACCUAACGCUCAAAAUUUUGAUAUGAACUCGGCAUAUUGAGAAUCUCAAAAUCAAGCCCAAUAGAGAACUUUUUGCAUUUUGUCAAUGUAUCAACUUUUUGU
rnacentral:lncRNA from 1 species